UUCCACGAGGGAGGAGCUGGGAGAGGAGGGGUGUGUGGGUCCAGUGUGGGUUCCCACACGAGGAACAGAUCUGUUCAACAAGCCGUAUGCUUUGCCCAUCAGCAGGAAUCCACAAAUGCAGGUGGAUUUCCACACUGGGACUGAUGAGAACUUAGACAUCGCCUUUCAUUUUUGAGUGUCCUGUGGCCAAGCUGUGAAGAUAAACAGCCAUCAAGAUGGGAGCUGAAACUGUGAGGUGGAAUCCUCCGAAAUGCCCUGUGCCGAUGGCCAACCAUCUGUCCUGCACGCCCGGUACUGUAGAAUGAGGACAGGAAUGGCAUGUCCCAAGAAGGCAAGGUUUCUUCAGGCUGAAUCUUGAAUUGAGGAAGAUACAUGGAACAGAAUCACUACCAACCCAGAGCAGAUUGCAAGUAAAAAAUAAAUUCUGGGGACAUCUGGUACAGGAAGAUUCCACAUGCCCUGGGGCAACUAAGCCCAUAGGUCACAACUAGUGAGCCCGAGCGCAUAGAGCUAGUGCUCUGCAACAGGAAAAGCCACUGCAGUGAGAUGCCCGUGCACCGCCAUGGAGAGUAGCCCCCACUCACCACAACUAGAGAAAGCCCACGCAUAGCAAUGAAGACCCAGUGCAACCAAAAAAAAAUGUUUUUAAAUAAUCACAAUAAACUCUGUUGUCA
rnacentral:lncRNA from 1 species